rnacentral:rRNA from 1 species
AUUGAACGCUGGCGGCAGGCCUAACACAUGCAAGUCGAGCGGAUGAAGGGAGCUUGCUCCUGGAUUCAGCGGCGGACGGGUGUGUAAUGCCUAGGAAUCUGCCUGGUAGUUUUGUAUAACGUCCUUAAACGGGCGCUAAUACCGCAUACUUCCUUAGGGUGCAAGUGUGGGUUCUUCGGACCUCUCGCUUUCUGUUGAUCCUAGUUCGGAUUAGCUAGUUGGUUGGGUAAAGGCCUACCAAGGCGACGAUCCGUAACUGGUCUGAGAGGAUGAUCAGUGACACUGGAACUGAGAAACGGUACAGACUCCUACGGGAGGCAGCAGUGGGGAAUAUUGGACAAUGGGCGAAAGAAUGAUACAGCCAUGCCGCGUGUGUGAAGAAGGUCUUAGGAUUGUAAAGCACUUUAAGUUGGGAGGAAGGGAAGUAAGUUAAUACAUUGAUGUAUUGACGUUAACAACAGAAUAAGCACCGGCUAACUUCGUG